rnacentral:rRNA from 1 species
UACGUAGGGUGCGAGCGUUGCCCGGAUUUAUUGGGCGUAAAGGGCGCGUAGGCGGCUCGGCACGUCCGUUGUGAAAUCGCCCGGCUCAACUGGGCGGGGUCAGCGGAUACGGUCGAGCUUGAGCAAGCUAGGGGGCAAUGGAAUUCCCGGUGUAGUGGUGGAAUGCGUAGAUAUCGGGAGGAACACCAGUGGCGAAGGCGGUUGCCUGGAGCUUUGCUGACGCUGAGGCGCGAAAGCGCGGGGAGCGAUCCGG